rnacentral:lncRNA from 1 species
GCGAUUCGCGGUUUAAGGUCCUGGGUUCGAUUCCUGGGGAGACCCCCGAAUUAGUCGGGAGCGCGAGAUUAUGGCUAGCUGCUGAAAUGUGGAGUUGAGGUCGCAGUUGAUGGACCAGAUUCGCACGCUAGAUUGGUGGCGAUUGCCGAACCCUCCGUCUCUUCGGGUGUUCGGGUGAAUGGAUGAGGAGGGGUCCUAGACGGCUGGACCCGCCGCCUUGGACUUACAGUUCGUAUGGCGAAGUAUAGUGUGGUAGUGGUGGACGGUGCUAUAAGAUGAUACAUCGUAGAACUGACAAUGUGAUAAAACGGCCCAGAAGCCCCCCACUCUGUAACAUUACAUUACAUUGCAUCCAGUGACCGGUCGCUUGCGUGCAAGCUGCAGAAGUCUAUUUACGGUUUAAAGCAGGCACCCCGUUGCUGGUAUGAAAAACUAUCAGCAGGGUUCGCCAAGUUGGGUCUUUAUCCUUCGAAGUCUGAUCCGGCGAUGUUUGUUAAGACGGACGAGCGUGGGGUUGUUAUUGCUUUGGUGCACGUAGAUGAUACAAUUGUUGCGUCGGAAGACCCGGAAAUGGUCCGGGCAAUUAAAACCGCAAUUGCGAAGGUCUUCAAGGUGCGCGACCUUGGAGAAGCGAAGGUGUUUUUGGGCAUGGAAAUUAGGAGGGAGAAGUCGGGUGAGAUAGUGUUGUCGCAGCAUAGGUAUAUUGCGCAGCUGUUGGAGCGUCAUAGGAUGAUUGACGCCAAGCCGAGGUCUACCCCUUUGCCUCCGGGCUUUAGGUACACUCCUAAGGGGGACGAAGAGGAGCUGCUGGGCAAUCCCACCGAGUAUAGGGCUUUGGUGGGAGAAUUGAACUAUCUGGCGACGAACACGCGGCCUGACAUUUCAUAUGCAUUGAGCGUUUUGUCCCGGCAUAUGGCCGCACCCACGAAGUGUGCCAUGAACCUGGCAACUGGCGUUCUGCGUUACCUGGCGGGGACUCGCGAACUAGGAUUGCGUUUUGGGGGUGUUGGCGACGUUGCUAUGUCCGGGUACAGUGAUUCUGACUGGGCAGGAGACCCAGUUACGCGGCGUUCUACGUCCGGUUACGUUUUCACUCUUAAUGGGGCUGCGAUUAGCUGGAGCAGCCAACUCAACGUACUGUGGCGGCUUCAUCGGUGGAGGCCGAGUAUCAAGCGACAGCGGCAGCUGUUCGUGAGGCUUUGUGGCUUCGCUUGUGGUUGAUUUGGGUUUGCCUGAGAGCGCUAUCAAGAUCCAAAUAGAUUCCCAAGGGGCGCUUAGCUUAGGAAAUAACCCGAUUACGUCUGCUCGGUCGAAGCACAUCGACGUGCAGCAUCACAUAGUGCGUGAAAGGGUGAAUAGCGGUGAGGUGCAGUUGGAGUACUGCCCUACGGAGUGGAUGGUUGCGGAUGUACUAACGAAGGCUCUGGGCGAGGUGAAGUUCAAACGUUGCCGAGAUGCUAUGGGCCUUGUCUGAAGUGUGCAGAUGAACUUGGUACUCGUUGGGAUACGGCCCGAGGGGGCGUGUUAAGGAAACGGUCCUCUCCCAACUCGUGUGGUUGUCGACCAGGGGAUUUGACCCCGGGUCUACGCCUGACUAAUGGGGAAGACUUACCCCAGAACCUUAUGGGGCUACCGAUGCAUAUCCGGUAGCUAAGUGAUAGACAUUAGGGCACCGUCUGGACGGCGCAGUGAGAUCGCGGAAUGUACGUGCAGUUAGAUCGCGGAAUGUACGAGUUUUCCGCUAGCGCCGGUAUUUAGGACGGUGACUGCGCCUAUUAGUUUAUCUCACAACGAUCGGUAUUCCUACUAGGAAUCUCCUCAAGUCCUGCCGAACGUUAACAAUACUCUUUACAUUACUUGUAACAGUUUAUCGUGCUAAAUAUCUUCGCCACCGGCAAUCCUUCCGAAAUAACAAUCAGCGUUAGCCGUCACCGUCGCCAAUUCUUCAAUACUAGUUCGCGUACGGCGUUAGAUCAUAAGGUUCAACCUGCCGUACUUCGCGUUAGUGAGGUGCGUCCCAGCGGCGUACUUGUUCUGCAAGGUCAAGACGGUCAAACCAUGCAAACGCAUUUUGAUGCACUGUGCACCUUGUCAUUUGCCCAUUUUAGACGAGGCUAUCGAUCCUCGCUUGUCCCGACCUCAUGCUAAUUUGUCCUGUGAGGUUUGCAAAAUGCCUGAUGCUUCUCUGUGAUAAGUGUGGGACGGGUUGGCACACUUAUUGCCUUAAGCCGCCUCUCAAACAAAUCCCUUGGGUGUGUCCUAAUUGUCUUUCUAAAGGCAUCACCGUAGCACAAAUAAACUCACGAUCUUUAGAUAACUCUGGUAGUAAUUCCAAUAAAUCGAGCACUAAGCCUGUUCCUCCGCAAUAUCUUGCCGAACUACAAGGGUCACGAGUAUUUGGAUCUAAUUCCGGACCCUCUGGCAGUCGUGCCGCGAGAACCGGUGUCGCUACCUAUGCCGGUAAACGAGGCAGGAAGCAUUUCUUCGAGGUGCUUUAUCAGGACGGCGAAUUGGAGCUGGUGGAUGUUGUGCAGCUGCGCAAUAUGCUUGCACCUAAGUCUGCCCGCCCAGGGCGAGCGGUGGGAGUAGCAGCGGUUGCAGCAGCCGCAUUGAAGCUGGAGCACUGGAGUUUGGAUUCAGCCGCGGACGUUCCGAUGGCGCUGGAUCUGGCUAUGGCGGGAGACCACUCAGUAUUCAAGAUAGCUUUGGUCACCAAUCAAUUAUUCGAGCAACGUCUUCUACUUCCGUCCGUACCACAGCGGCAUGUCGACGUGUUGCGAGGAGCGUUGCGUUGGAGCUUACGUAAUUCUGCCUUACGAGGCGCGCGCGUCUUAAAGGAAAGCCGGUAAAAUUCAGUGAUCCCUUGUCGCCUCAGUUUUACGAUGGCGUAGAUAAGCAGUUUACAUCUGUAGACGCAGCAGUGUUGUCAAUUACUGGAGCGUUGUUAGAUUUGGCAAUUCCAGCAGCGAUUAAGUUGGUUAAGGGCUUUGUGGUCGCUAGAGUUCCGGUUAAUCACAUAUCGGGUGCUGAUGAAGCGCGCAUGAAGUGGUUGCGCACUCUGCAGGAUAAGGAUUGUUUGUUGAUGUUGAGUUGUCCUUCCGUUGAGUCUGAGUACCAGUCUUUUAUCUGGCUGAUUGUGUUCACCAAUCCGGUUAUCAAGCGUGUGAUUUUGAAGGAUAGCAGCUUAGCUGAGCAAUUACUUUGAGGGUCCGCUUUCCACGGGCAUUCACCAUCUCGGCUUCGCCCGCUGGGGGGGGAGUCUGCCGUACGCACGUGUUUUGUUCGGUGCUACAGUCGCUACAGUAUGACGCGACAGCUGUCACGACAUUUUAGCGCCACGUUCAUUUUACCGUCUUUCAUAAUCGUCUUAGGUUAUUAUUGGUAUGAUUACGCGAAUUUCGCUAAUCGACUUCUGGACAAGACGCGAAUGUACGCUCGUUUGCGUAUGUUUAUGUAUUUUACUUGUACUGAAUUGUUCAUUUCUUGUGUGAAUGUUCUGUCACACGGUUAUAAGGUGUUUCACUUGUGUCAUUUGUGGACUAUACGUCGUGGUCGUACUCGAGGCUUAUCUUUUGAGGGCCUCCUGUGAUCGACAGUGUGACUUCGGUAUUUAUAGCCACAGCGAGCUUGGAAAAGUCGCUUUUUAUGGCUCUCUUAUGGCCUAUGCCCAUGCAGGAGGCAACGCCCAUCAACGCCCAUCAACGCCCAUAGCCUUCACGCCGGGCACACUCAGAAUGUGUGUGUGUGUGGUUGUUACAGUGGGCUCCAGACUCCCGAAGAGUAGAGCAAUCGGGCCAGCUGGCCGUGCACUGCAGUAGAGACUAAUAUACCAAUAGAGACCAUCACCUCAGAUAAUUAACCGCUCAUCGGUAACCGCUCCCUUGAUCACAGCAAUUUGCCAGAUAUAAUUCUCAAGAAGGGGUGAUGUGCGCCAACAGAAUCCCAACCUUUCCGUGGAAUUCCCAAAGCUGCGAAACCCUGAAUGCGGCCCCAAAAGUCAACAAUAACUCGACAAAUGGCUUCUUCCGAAAGGGAAGGGCCAGGUAACAGUGCCGGGUUGGUUUUCAUGUUUGCAGUGUUGAAGGGCGGUCCUAUCCCAAGAUAGGUAGUUAGGCGAUGAAUCCGCCGUGAUAGGCGAUGCCUCGGACAUGCCUCGACCUUGCCUCGGCCGUGCCUCGACCUUGCCUCGGGUCUCUCGGCCGCGUAUCUUGGACGUGUCCUCAGGUCCAGGGAUGGUGGACGACUGUACGAUACUUCCGUUGGUAUCGGUACAUAAGGCCAGAGUGGUGCAUGUCUUUCUAUCUCAUCUUCGGAUGGAUCGGUAUUCCUUCAUAGGAAUCUCCUAAAGUCUUCUUGCCGUUCACCACUAACCCACAGACUGUAACCCUUAUAUCGCGACCAGUCUACUUGCCUCCUUCAUAUUCUUAACAGGUUAUGAGUCCCGGCUCACGCUAGUAGCUUACAUAGCUAGCGUGAAGAAGGCAUAGGACGCCUGCAAGCAAUUACAGUCGGACUUGUUUGGGAGUGGGACACGUUAGCAGCGAUUCUGAGCGGGCACAGACUUUGCUUGUUGGUUUGCCCAGCCGCUUCAGCAUGGUAACGACAUCCCUACUGGUGCGUGACGGUGAUUCGGACGUGGCUAUCGUCAACUCGAUAUUUUUGACAAUCGAGAUGGCAAGCGAUGGCUCUGGUAAGCCUACCGAGUCGGCAGCUUUUGCUUCUGUCGGCAGUUUUUCGUUUGGCGCCUCUGGUUCUGGUCUUGAGAAUCGUAGCGCGGCCAGCAGCAGUUCUGGCGUUCCUCUCAAAGAGGUGAUUUGCUUCUAUCGCAGCAAGACUGGGCCCGGUGGGUCUAGCAAGGGAUCAGUUUUCCUGGAGCAGGUUGCGUUUGUAGCUUACAUCAGUAAGCGUCUGAGGGAUCCUGGCCGAAUAUGGGAAUGGAGGACAGUAUCGUGUUGUGCACGUCACCAAUGUCCGCCUUGAUGAGUUUAAUGUCGGCCGGCGGCACAAUGCCAGGGAUGCUGAUGAUGGGUCCGAUGCCGACGAGGGUUGCACACUAGGUUGCCUGGUGAGGGGUCGCUGCCUAGGGCUGGCGAAUGGACAUUAGGCAAUACCGUCAACACGGGAUCGCCGCAUCUGGGUGGCGAGGGGGCGCUGGCUGGGGCUGGACCUCCCAGAAGUUGUUAAGACCAGCAAAGCGCCGGACCCCCGUUGGGUCCUAUUACUGUGGCUACCAUUCACUGGUAUAUGAGUGUCGGUCAUUUCCAACACCCCCCCGUGAGCGACACUCUCUCGCUCCGGGCCUUCCCGUGCCUCAUCCCGGUCUCCCAUUCUCUGGGCAACAGCCAGUGGGUAUCGAUCCGGCGACCUCUCGGCAGCGCAAUGCGCCAUUCGGGGCUCAUAACCUGUUAAGACCAGCAAAGCGCCGGACCCCCGUUGGGUCCUAUUACUGUGGCUACCAUUCACUGGUAUAUGAGUGUCGGUCAUUUCCAACAGAAGUGUGAGUGUGCAAGGAAAUACACACAUGUGGAAAUGCUGGGUGCUCGGUAUUCAGUUAGGGAAUGCAAACGUCCUGGCGAGUGUUGAUGAAGUGUACCUGGUCGUAGUGCUACAAGCCGAGUCGUUGCUGCUGGGAUUCAGAACCUAACUUUUAUGCCGAUGGCAUCUCACGCCCACAUGCAGACGACUGGCGGCCGUGUACCGUGAACAUUUUGUAAUUGUAAUUGUAAUUGUAAUGUUACAGAGUGGGAGGCUUCUGGGCCGCUUUAUCACAUUGUCAGUUCUAGAUCAUUUAUCACCUUAUAGCACCUUCCACCACUACCACACUGUACUUCGCCAUACGAACUGUAAGUCCAAGGCGGCGGAUCCAGCAUCCAGGGACCCCUCCUCAUCCAUUCACCCGAACACCCGAAGAGACGGAGGGUUCGGCAAUCGCCACCAAUCCAGCGUGCGAAUCUGGUCCAUCAACUGUGACCUCAACUCCACAUCUCAGCAGCUAGCCAUAAUCUCGCGCUCCCGACUAAUUCGGGGGUCUCCCCAGGAAUCGAACCCAGGACCUUAAACCGCUAAUUGCAGUAGUGUCAACCCAGACCAGAACAUUUUGUAUCCAGUCGACCCAACCGGACAGCGUGGAUUGCAGCAGGCGAUCGUUUGCUACAACUACCAACAGACGGGCCGUAUAGCUCGGAGUUGCAGAGAGAUUAGCUGCCUAACGUGCAGGGAAGGAGUGGAGGUGGUCUUGGCACCCACACGUGGCAGGUGGGGUAGCAUGCCUCAACAGACAGGCGGUGGCGGCAGUGCAGUGAUGCCGUGUAUUUUUUUGCUGCAAGAUACGAACCACUAUGAAUUGUCUGUCUCCGAAGCGGCUAGUAUUGGAGUACCUGAGUCAGGGCCUUUGCCAGCGGCAAGCCACCGCAGGAGUUCAGAAGAAGAGGGCAGGGAAUAUGAGCAGAUAAUGUGGCCUUCGGAGUGGUGUAGUGGUGAUGCAGGAAGGAGGAUAGGAAGUCGCAUUCACUUGGCUGUCAUUGAUCCGAACCCUGCUGAGCUUUUGCUGAGUAUCGACCAGGGGAUUUGACCCCGGGUCUGUGCCUGACUAAUGGGGAAGACUUACCCCAGAACCUUAUGGGCUAAUAUCCGGUAGCUAAGAGAUAGACAUUGGGCACCGUCAGGACGGCGCAGUGAGAUCGCGGAAUGUACGUGCAGUUAGAUCGCGGAAUGUACGAGUUUUCCGCUAGCGCCGGUAUUUAGGGCGGUGACUGCGCUUAUUUGUUUAUCUCACUACGAUCGGUAUUCCUUAAAGGAAUCUCCUCAAGUCCUGCCGAACGCUAAUAAUACUCUUUACAUAACUUGUAACAUUUUAUCGUGCUAAAUAUCUUCGCCACCGGCAAUUCUUCCGAGAUAACAAUCAGCGUUGGCCGUCACCGUCGCCAAUUCUCCAAUAUACGAUAGGGGCACAGGGAUUUAGCGAGUGGGGCCUGCGGUUGGAGGUAUUGAUCCACUAUUUGAUGCCAAGCCUUGCGUAUUGCUAGGCCUGCCGUUGCAUUCAUAACUCCAUCCAAGGCCUCGCGCGCGCGAAGAACAUCCCCCAACGUAUGCAAUGCUUUACAGCCCAGGAGGGCUUGGUGUCGAAAUUCUAGUCCCGGGCGGAUGUUAUCUGACGGGACAUUCAACCUUUUUUCUGGAAGAACAGGGUUUCCCCACAAAGGCAAAUUCCAACACCACGCAUUAGGAACUAACGGGUGAUCAUCAACAUCUUCCACUGGGGGAAGGUAUGCCAACGCUGUCACAAUGCGCUGAACAUCUGGCGGUAAAACGAUUAAUCCAAACCAAGGCACUCCCACCUGGGACGUAAAAAUACACAUAGGAUUGUACUUGGGGUAAAGGCUACGCAGGAAAGAGUGCAUGACCAACACCCAUGGCGGACGCACUAAGACUGGUUGGAGUAAUGCUCUCACAAAACGCACUGCCCAGCACGCCCAUCGCGCUUGUACAUGUUCUCGAACUGCUAAUGCCCCAAAACCGCCCAAAGUUGGAUGGCCAUAUAACAAAUAUUUAGGAAUUCCGGUGAGUCGUCUGUCAUGUGCGACCGGUCCGAGGUUCAAAUCAAUAAGCUUGGCAGCUUUAGCCUCAAUAUUAAUGAGUUUUGCUUCUGGGGGAAAUCCCCCGUGUUCCAUAUGCCACGUAAAACGAUGCAACCCAUAGGCAGCCGCUGCAUGUGCACGCCCAAACAUGGAAUGGUUUAACACAGAAAUGCGUCGAGCCCAGACUUUGUCUAGUUGCACGUCCCAGUCCAUGACUGUGGUGUCCCCCACAUCCGUAAAAGGCAGAUUGAGAGCCGUUGCCCUGUGUACGACCUUCAUGUCAUGAUUUAUUGUGAUAUGAUGUGGGUGGGUGCCGAGAGGUAAAAGCUCAACCUUAUCCAGGUUAAGUUGCUGUCCAGAAGCCUGUGCGCGAGAUUAUGGCUAGCUGCUGAGAUGUGGAGUUGAGGUCACAGUUGAUGGACCAGAUUCGCACGCUGGAUUGGUGGCGAUUGCCGAACCCUCCGUCUCUUCGGGUGUUCGGGUGAAUGGAUGAGGAGGGGUCCCUGAAGGCUGGAUCCGCCGCCUUGGACUUACAGUUCGUAUGGCGAAGACAGUGUGGUAGUGGUGGAUGGUGCUAUAAGGUGAUAAAUGAUCGUAGAACUGACAAUGUGAUAAAGCGGCCCAGAAGCCUCCCACUCUGUAACACAUUACA